GGGUUGUGAGGUUAAGCGACUAAGCGUACACGGUGGAUGCCCUGGCAGUCAGAGGCGAUGAAGGACGUGCUAAUCUGCGAAAAGCGCCGGCGAGGUGAUAUGAACCUUUGACCCGGCGAUGUCCGAAUGGGGAAACCCAGUGCAAUUCGUUGCACUAUCGUUAACUGAAUACAUAGGUUAACGAGGCGAACCGGGGGAACUGAAACAUCUAAGUACCCCGAGGAAAAGAAAUCAACCGAGAUUCCCCCAGUAGCGGCGAGCGAACGGGGAGCAGCCCGGAGUCUGAAUCAGCUUGUGUGUUAGUGGAACGGUCUGGAAAGUCCGACGGUACAGGGUGAUAGUCCCGUACACGAAAGCACACAUGCUGUGAACUCGAAGAGUAGGGCGGGACACGUGGUAUCCUGUCUGAAUAUGGGGGGACCAUCCUCCAAGGCUAAAUACUCCUGACUGACCGAUAGUGAACCAGUACCGUGAGGGAAAGGCGAAAAGAACCCCGGCGAGGGGAGUGAAAAAGAACCUGAAACCGUGUACGUACAAGCAGUGGGAGCCUCUUUAUGGGGUGACUGCGUACCUUUUGUAUAAUGGGUCAGCGACUUAUAUUCUGUAGCAAGGUUAACCGUAUAGGGGAGCCGAAGGGAAACCGAGUCUUAACUGGGCGUUAAGUUGCAGGGUAUAGACCCGAAACCCGGUGAUCUAGCCAUGGGCAGGUUGAAGGUUGGGUAACACUAACUGGAGGACCGAACCGACUAAUGUUGAAAAAUUAGCGGAUGACCUGUGGCUGGGGGUGAAAGGCCAAUCAAACCGGGAGAUAGCUGGUUCUCCCCGAAAGCUAUUUAGGUAGCGCCUCGUGAAUUCAUCUUCGGGGGUAGAGCACUGUUUCGGCUAGGGGGCCAUCCCGGCUUACCAACCCGAUGCAAACUACGAAUACCGAAGAAUGUUAUCACGGGAGACACACGGCGGGUGCUAACGUCCGUCGUGAAGAGGGAAACAACCCAGACCGCCAGCUAAGGUCCCAAAGUCAUGGUUAAGUGGGAAACGAUGUGGGAAGGCACAGACAGCCAGGAUGUUGGCUUAGAAGCAGCCAUCAUUUAAAGAAAGCGUAAUAGCUCACUGGUCGAGUCGGCCUGCGCGGAAGAUGUAACGGGGCUAAACCAUGCACCGAAGCUGCGGCAGCGACGCUUAGGCGUUGUUGGGUAGGGGAGCGUUCUGUAAGCCGUCGAAGGUGUCCUGUGAGGGGUGCUGGAGGUAUCAGAAGUGCGAAUGCUGACAUAAGUAACGAUAAAGCGGGUGAAAAGCCCGCUCGCCGGAAGACCAAGGGUUCCUGUCCAACGUUAAUCGGGGCAGGGUGAGUCGACCCCUAAGGCGAGGCCGAAAGGCGUAGUCGAUGGGAAACAGGUUAAUAUUCCUGUACUUGGUGUUACUGCGAAGGGGGGACGGAGAAGGCUAUGUCAGCCGGGCGACGGUUGUCCCGGUUUAAGCAUGUAGGCGGAGGUUCCAGGUAAAUCCGGUACCUUAUUAACGCUGAGGUGUGAUGACGAGGCACUACGGUGCUGAAGUGAUAAAUGCCCUGCUUCCAGGAAAAGCCUCUAAGCAUCAGGUAACACGAAAUCGUACCCCAAACCGACACAGGUGGUCAGGUAGAGAAUACCAAGGCGCUUGAGAGAACUCGGGUGAAGGAACUAGGCAAAAUGGUGCCGUAACUUCGGGAGAAGGCACGCUGAUAUGUAGGUGAAGUCCCUGCGGACGGAGCUGAAAUCAGUCGAAGAUACCAGCUGGCUGCAACUGUUUAUUAAAAACACAGCACUGUGCAAACACGAAAGUGGACGUAUACGGUGUGACGCCUGCCCGGUGCCGGAAGGUUAAUUGAUGGGGUUAGCGGCAACGCGAAGCUCUUGAUCGAAGCCCCGGUAAACGGCGGCCGUAACUAUAACGGUCCUAAGGUAGCGAAAUUCCUUGUCGGGUAAGUUCCGACCUGCACGAAUGGCGUAAUGAUGGCCAGGCUGUCUCCACCCGAGACUCAGUGAAAUUGAACUCGCUGUGAAGAUGCAGUGUACCCGCGGCAAGACGGAAAGACCCCGUGAACCUUUACUAUAGCUUGACACUGAACACUGGUCCUUGAUGUGUAGGAUAGGUGGGAGGCUUUGAAGCGUGGACGCCAGUCUGCGUGGAGCCAACCUUGAAAUACCACCCUUUAAUGGCUGGUGUUCUAACGUAGACCCGUAAUCCGGGUUGCGGACAGUGUCUGGUGGGUAGUUUGACUGGGGCGGUCUCCUCCCAAAGAGUAACGGAGGAGCACGAAGGUUGGCUAAUCCUGGUCGGACAUCAGGAGGUUAGUGCAAUGGCAUAAGCCAGCUUGACUGCGAGCGUGACGGCGCGAGCAGGUGCGAAAGCAGGUCAUAGUGAUCCGGUGGUUCUGAAUGGAAGGGCCAUCGCUCAACGGAUAAAAGGUACUCCGGGGAUAACAGGCUGAUACCGCCCAAGAGUUCAUAUCGACGGCGGUGUUUGGCACCUCGAUGUCGGCUCAUCACAUCCUGGGGCUGAAGUAGGUCCCAAGGGUAUGGCUGUUCGCCAUUUAAAGUGGUACGCGAGCUGGGUUUAGAACGUCGUGAGACAGUUCGGUCCCUAUCUGCCGUGGGCGCUGGAGAAUUGAGGGGGGCUGCUCCUAGUACGAGAGGACCGGAGUGGACGCAUCACUGGUGUUCGGGUUGUCAUGCCAAUGGCACUGCCCGGUAGCUAAAUGCGGAAGAGAUAAGUGCUGAAAGCAUCUAAGCACGAAACUUGCCCCGAGAUGAGUUCUCCCUGAGACCUUGAGUCUCCUGAAGGAACGUUGAAGACGACGACGUUGAUAGGUCGGGUGUGUAAGCGCAGCGAUGCGUUGAGCUAACCGAUACUAAUGAACCGUGAGGCUUAACCUUACAACGCCGAAGCUGUU
rnacentral:rRNA from 1 species